ensembl:misc_RNA Metazoa_SRP Metazoan signal recognition particle RNA
GCUGGGCGUGGUGGUGCAUGCCUGUAAUCCCAGCUACUUGGGAGGCUGAGGCAGGAGAAUUGCUUGAACCUGGGAGUUGGAGGUUGCAGUCAGCCAAGAUGAGCCACUGCACUACAGCCUAGGUGACAGAGUGAGACUCAGCCUCAA